rnacentral:tRNA from 1 species
GGGGAGAUGGCUCAGCAGUUAAGAGCACUGGCUGCUCUUCCAGUGGACCCUGGGUCAAUUCCCAGCACCCCCA